rnacentral:rRNA from 1 species
CCCUUAGAUGUUCUGGGCCGCACGCGCGCUACACUGAUGCAUUCAACGAGUUUCUUCCUGGUCCGAGAGGAAUGGGUAACCUUUUGAAAGUGCAUCGUGAUAGGGAUAGACUAUUGCAAUUAUUGGUCUUCAACGAGGAAUUCCUAGUAGACGUAGUUCAUCAGACUGCAUCGAUUACGUCCCUGCCCUUUGUACACACCGCCCGUCGCACCUACCGAUUGAAUGGUCCGGUGAAGCCUCCGGAUUGCGCGGCUUCGGCUGUCGCGAGAAGUUGGCUAAACCUUACCAUUUAGAGGAAGGUGAAGUCGUAACA